rnacentral:rRNA from 1 species
GAUGAACGCUAGCGGCAGGCUUAACACAUGCAAGUCGAGGGGUAUAGUUCUUCGGAGCUAGAGACCGGCGCACGGGUGCGUAACGCGUAUGCAAUCUACCUUUUGCGGAGGGAUAGCCCAGAGAAAUUUGGAUUAAUACCUCAUGGUAUGUGAGAAUGGCAUAAUUUUCACAUUAAAGUCACAACGGCAAAAGAUGAGCAGGCGUCCCAUUAGCUAGUUGGUAAGGUAACGGCUUACCAAGGCAACGAUGGGUAGGGGUCCUGAGAGGGCGAUCCCCCACACUGGUACUGAGAAACGGACCAGACUCCUACGGGAGGCAGCAGGGAGGAAUAUUGGACAAGGGGCGCAAGCCUGAUCCAGCCAUGCCGCGUGCAGGAUGACGGUCCUAUGGAUUGUAAACUGCAUUUGUACAGGAAGAAACACUGGUUCGUGAACCAGCUUGACGGUACUGUAAGAAUAAGGAUCGGCUAACUCCGUGCCAGCCGCCGCCGUAACAC